rnacentral:misc_RNA from 1 species
GAAGUGCGAUAAGCAAUGCGAAUUGCAGAAUUCCGCGAAUCAUCAGAUCUUUGAACGCAAAUGGCGCUAGAGGGAUAUCCUUCUGGCAUGUCUGUUUCAGUGUCUGAGAGGUUUCACAAUAAUCUUAAUGUGAUUGAAUACGGCUUGAUAUGAUUUUAUCAUCAUCUUGCUAAUUUCUCUCAUGAAAGAUGCGCGAGUGGAUCUUUCGGUCCAAUGAAGUGGUCACAUCACUCGAAUGUGAUUUCAUUGGAAGCACCGAAUUAUCAUUCAUUGCUCGUGGUAUCACAAUUAUUAUUUCUAGAUGCUAUUUAUUUAGCGUCCAAAAAUAAACUCUCUACAACCUGCAUCUGAGAUAGGCAAGAUCACCCGCUGAACUUAA